rnacentral:lncRNA from 1 species
CAGAGAUAUUCAGGUGCUGGGAAGAAUUGGGGUUCCAUGAACCUUCCGGAGGGGCCAAGGCGAGGUCGAGAGGGAACUGAGUGGGGACUGCUCUGCGUCCCCCACGUCCUUCCAAGCAGAGCUCCGUGCUUUUCUCUGUUACACACACUGGGCUUCAGGUAAAAUUGCCGAGCUUUUUUCAAGGUUCUGCUGAUUCCAACACACAUACAAUUUAAAAUCCACAGGUCCAGAGGAGCUGCUCCUUCCUUCCGACCUCCUUGAAUCUGCCAUUCUAACAGGACCCGGAUGAGCUUAACUAGGAGUAGAACUUCAUGGUACCCAGCUGUAGCAAAAUGAUGAAUUCACAAAGUCUGACCAUCGAUCAGCAAUCAGGAAUCUACUGAAGACCUACUCUGCGCUCCCGCCCAGGAGAAGGCAGCACCUGCCUGUCCUCAAACGCCAGAGCCAGGAAAUGCGUCUAAGGGAUGUCCACACUCACAGGGGACAUGAUGCAGAACCAGGGUCCAGCUCCUCUGCCACUGCCCUGCCCCCUUCAGAGGGCCCACAGAGAAAACUUCUCAUCACAGCCAGCCCCCCAACCACCCUUCCUGCCUCCUAAAAGCACAGCUGACCCCGGCGCCAGGGCGGGAAGCUCACAGCAAAGAUCUCCUGCCAUCUCAGCAGGGAUGUGCCAGCAUGAGAUCAGGCUUCCAUCUGUAUGUCCUCCCAAAGAGAGGAGGAAGCCCCCGCUCCCGGAGAGGCAGGGCCGCAGAAGAGCACCUGUGGGAGGAGAUAGCCUGCUCACCAACCCCUGAAGGGGAUCUUCUAGGUAGACAAUUUGUCCUCCAUUUCUAACCAUGCCUCCCCAUCUUCUCUGUCUAGUGAACUCCUACUCAUCCUUCAAAACCCAUCCCCAAUGUCACUCCUUCUUUCAAGACUUCCUGAGCUUCCUUCUCCCUCAGUUCCCAUGCCACUUCAUCCACAUCUGUCUUGGGUAGCUCUGAAAUUAAAUAACAAUAAUUUCUCCAGGAAAAGGGAUCACGUCUGGAGAUCACAGGACCUCAGUUCAAAUCCCAGCUCCCUUACUCCCCAGCUGUGAGGCCUCAGACAGGUUGCUUUGCCUCUCUGAGUCCCAAUUUCCUCAUCUGUAAAGUGGAGAAAAUGCAAUUUACUCUCUAGGGUUGUUUUCAGGGUUAAAUAAAGUAAUAUACGUGAAAGAGCCUAAAAUUAUG